AACACUGUUAACCUGCGGUACCUGCGGAAGGAUCAUUACAGAGUUGCAAAACUCCCACAAACCAUCGCGAAUCUUACCCGUACGGUUGCCUCGGCGCUGGCGGUCCGGAAGGCCCUCGGGCCCCCGGACCCUCGGGUCCCCCGCUCGCGGGGGGCUGCCCGCCGGAGUGCCGAAACCAAACUCUUGAUAUUUUAUGUCUCUCUGAGUAAACUUUUAAAUAAGUCAAAACUUUUAACAAUG
rnacentral:misc_RNA from 1 species